rnacentral:rRNA from 1 species
GACAUAGGUGGCAAACGUUAUCCGGAUUUAUUGGGCGUAAAGAGCUCGUAGGUGGCGUGUCGCGUCUGCCGUGAAAGCCCAUGGCUUAACUGUGGGUCUGCGGUGGAUACGGGCAGGCUGGAGGCUGGUAGGGGCAAGCGGAAUUCCUGGUGUAGCGGUGAAAUGCGCAGAUAUCAGGAGGAACACCGGUGGCGAAGGCGGCUUGCUGGGCCAGUUCUGACGCUGAGGAGCGAAAGCGUGGGGAGCGAACAGG